rnacentral:rRNA from 1 species
UACGGGGGGGGCAAGCGUUGUUCGGAAUUACUGGGCGUAAAGGGCGCGUAGGCGGUCAGACCAAGUCGAAUGUUAAAUUCCAGGGCUUAACUUUGGACGGUCGUUCGAUACUGGUCGGCUAGAGUGUGGAAGAGGAUGCUGGAAUUCCCGGUGUAGCGGUGAAAUGCGUAGAUAUCUGGAGGAACACCGGUGGCGAAGGCGGCAUCCUGGACCAAUUCUGACGCUGAGGAGCGAAAGCCAGGGGAGCAAACGGG